rnacentral:SRP_RNA from 1 species
GCCGGGCGUGGUGGCGGGCGCCUGUAAUCCCAGCUACUCAGGAGGCUGAGGCAGGAGAAUCGCUUGAACCUGGGAGGUUGCAGUGAGCUGAGAUUGCGCCACUGCACUCCAGCCUGGGCGACACAGCGAGACUCUGUCUCAA